rnacentral:rRNA from 1 species
UACGUAGGGGGCAAGCGUUAUCCGGAAUCACUGGGUGUAAAGGGAGCGUAGACGGUCAUGCAAGUCUGGAGUGAAAGGCGGGGGCCCAACCCCCGGACUGCUCUGGAAACUGUGUAACUGGAGUGCAGGAGAGGCAGGCGGAAUUCCUGGUGUAGCGGUGAAAUGCGUAGAUAUCAGGAGGAACACCGGUGGCGAAGGCGGCCUGCUGGACUGUAACUGACGCUGAGGCACGAAAGGGCGGGGAUCGA